GUCCUCAUAGUUCAACGGAUAGAACACAGGUUUCCUAAACCUGGAAUGGAGGUUCAAUUCCUCCUGGGGAUA
rnacentral:tRNA from 1 species